GACGAACGCUGGCGGCAUGCCUAAUACAUGCAAGUCGAACGAUACCGCAAGGUAUAGUGGCGGACGGGUGAGUAACGCGUGGGCAACCUGCCCUGAAGAUUGGGAUAACACCCCGAAAGGGGUCUAAUACCAAAUGUAGUUGCGGUACCGCAUGGAACUGCAAAAAAAGGAGCAAUCCACUUCAGGAUGGGCCCGCGUCUGAUUAGCUAGUUGGUGGGGUAACGGCCUACCAAGGCGACGAUCAGUAGCCGACCUGAGAGGGUGAUCGGCCACACUGGGACUGAGACACGGCCCAGACUCCUACGGGAGGCAGCAGUCGGGAAUAUUGGGCAAUGGACGAAAGUCUGACCCAGCAAUGCCGCGUGAGUGACGAAGGUCUUCGGAUCGUAAAGCUCUGUCUUCAGGGACGAAAGAGUGACGGUACCUGAGGAGGAAGCCCCGGCUAACUACGUGCCAGCAGCCGCGGUAAUACGUAGGGGGCGAGCGUUGUCCGGAAUUACUGGGCGUAAAGGGCGAGUAGGCGNCUAUACAAGUCAGAUGUGAAAUACUGAGGCUUAACCUCAGGGCUGCAUUUGAAACUGUAUAGCUUGAGUGCAGGAGAGGAAAGUGGAAUUCCCCAGUGUAGCGGUGAAAUGCGUAGAUAUUGGGAGGAACAUCCAGUGGCGAAGGCGACUUUNUGGAGCUGUAACUGACGCUGAGGCGCGAAAGCUGC
rnacentral:rRNA from 1 species